CACGUAGGGUGCGAGCGUUUGUCCGGAAUUAUUGGGCGUAAAGGGCUCGUAGGCGGUUUGUCGCGUCGGGGAGUGAAAAUCCACUGGCUUAACUGGUGGCUUGCUUUCGAUACGGGCGGGCUGGAGUUCGGUAGGGGAGACUGGAAUUCCUGGUGUAGCGGUGAAAUGCGCAGAUAUCAGGAGGAACACCGGUGGCGAAGGCGGGUCUCUGGGCCGAUACUGACGCUGAGGAGCGAAAGCGUGGGGAGCGAACAGG
rnacentral:rRNA from 1 species